CUUCAGUCUGGAAGCAAAACGCACACAUGGUUGUGAGCGAAGUUCUGCUCAUCGUCCCGAAGCCGCCUGCGGCUCAGUAGUAAACACCGUGUACAGCCGACGGCAUGACAACGGCGGAUCUGUUCCCCCGCUGAAGCUCCCACUCAGUAACCCACACGCUGCCGUUAACAUCAACAGGUUCAUGCAAAGUCACCAAACAGCGCGGAGCGUACGUAGAGCCGGUUAUAGAGAACUCGUGAAGGCUGCAGCUGGAAUCUUCCACCUUGUCUGCGAUGAACAUCUGAGGAGAAGAGUCCAACAAACAGAGGCAGGCGAUGUGACGUCGGGGAAACCUGUGAACUGCUCGGCUACAACAGCCUGUGCUGCUCCAGCAGCCACCUUCUACCUGCUAAGUGGCUCUCCUUUAGGCUUCAUGAAAUAAUAAAAAUAAACAUAACCGACGUGUAACGAGUCACACUCACUCUG